rnacentral:rRNA from 1 species
UAAGGAAUAUUGCUCAAUGGGAGAAAUCCUGAAGCAGCAACGCCGCGUGGAGGAUGAAGGGUCUAUGACUUGUAAACUCCUGUAAAGAAGGAAAAAAUUCCCAUUAGAUGGGAGAUGAUGGUACUUCUGGAGUAAGCCCCGGCUAACUACGUGCCAGCAGCCGCGGUAAUACGUAGGGGGCAAGCGUUGUCCGGAUUUACUGGGUGUAAAGGGUGCUCAGGCGGAUUUGUAAGUCAGAGGUGAAAUCUUACAGCUUAACUGUGAAACUGCCGCUGAUACUGCAAGCCUAUGGUAUGGAAGAGAGUGAUGGAAUAUCUGGUGUAGCAGUGAAAUGCGUAGAUAUCAGAUAGAACACCAAUGGCGAAGGCAGUCACUUGGUCCA